rnacentral:rRNA from 1 species
ACUCCUACGGGAGGCAGCAGUGGGGAAUAUUGCACAAUGGGCGCAAGCCUGAUGCAGCCAUGCCGCGUGUAUGAAGAAGGCCUUCGGGUUGUAAAGUACUUUCAGCAGUGAGGAAGGUGGGGUAUGUUAAAUAGCAUAUUCAUUUUGACGUAGCUGCAGAAAGAAGCACCGGCUAACUCCGUGCCAGCAGCCGCGGUAAUACGGAGGGUGCGAGCGUUAAUCGGAAUUACUGGGCGUAAAGCGCAUGCAGGUGGUUUGUUAAGUCAGAUGUGAAAGCCCGGGGCUCAACCUCGGAAUUGCAUUUGAAAACUGGCAAAAACUAGAGUACUGUAGAGGGGGG